GUUCCACUAAACCCCAACUCCUUUGACUGGAAGAAUCUCCAAACAUUUGAUGUGGCAAGUGCACUUUUGAGGUCUCAGAGCUACCUAUUUGGCAGACAUCCUGAGAAAUGCUCGAGGGCAAGGCGAAAUUUAAGGGAUGAGCUUCUUCCAUAACAGGAAGUUGUAUUUGUGUAUUCACUGGAAACAAAUUAUGUGAAGGCGGGAAAUGAUUAGGAUCCAUAGAAGCAUUUCCUGCAGAUAUGCCAGGAUUCGGCAACUUGCCAUAAGGUUGUUCACCAAAUCGCUGAUGAGGAUGCUGAUCAGACAGCACUUGAGAGAGCAACUGCUGCUGCUGGCGCAAUAUUAGUUGCUGUUCUUCAUGUUUCUGCUGCUGCUGCUUGAGCAUCAACAACUUGUCUAACACUGACAAUUGUUGCGGUCCUUGUCCUGCCUGAGACUGUAGCUGCAGCAAGUACUGUUGUUGCAAUAGAUUUAACAGCUGUGGAUCUUGAACUCCAGAUGAAAGUAGCUUUUCAGUAGCCAAAAUGCUGGAAGUAUUAUCCAUGGCACCUAGUAAGUUGGUCAUAGGUGGAUUCUGUGGGUGUAGCCUCUGUUGUUGCAUUCCAAAUGCAGAUUGUGGGGGCAUACUCUGACCUUGAUGCAUCUCCAUCCUUUCCUGAAGCGGUUCUAAUCCCCCUUGGACGGAGAAAUUAGACCAACCACUAAUGCCGCUACUAAUGCCAGCUGAUCUGUCUGGUAUGCCCUGAAGUAGAGACAUCAAAUCAACAUUCUGAUUAUGGGACUGCUGACGAAUAUUUUCAGCCAUUGAAGGCCGUUGAGAAUGAGGCAAAGGAUCCUGAACAAUAUCCGCAUUUGGAACAACAGGUGAUGCAUCUCUCCCAGGCCAAAGAGGAAAAGGCUUUGGUAGAGAUUUCUGUCUCUCAAGAGCCAUUUUUUUAGCCAAGAGAAACAGAUUUUCUCCACUUUCAGCUCCCAUAGGAGGAACAG
rnacentral:misc_RNA from 1 species